rnacentral:rRNA from 1 species
UACUAGAGUAGCACUCGCAUAUCAAUAAGCGGAGGAAAAGAAACUAACAAGGAUUCCCCUAGUAACGGCGAGUGAAGCGGGAAGAGCUCAAAUUUGAAAUCUUAAAGGGUUUCCCUUUACAAAUUGUAGUUUAAAGAAGUGUUUUCUGUUGAGGUUUUGGUAAAAGUUCUUUGGAAUAGGACAUCAUAGAGGGUGAGAAUCCCGUAUUUAACCUUUACUUUCAACUUUGUGAUACACUUUCAAAGAGUCGAAUUGUUUGGGAAUGCAGUCCAAAAUGGGUGGUAAAUUUCAUCUAAAGCUAAAUAUUGGCGAGAGACCGAUAGCGAACAAGUACCGUGAGGGAAAGAUGAAAAGAACUUUGAAAAGAGAGUUAAACAGUACGUGAAAUUGUCAAAAGGGAAGCGUUUGACACCAGUGUUGUUUUUCUGAAAAUCAAUUAAAGAACUGUUUAUGCUAAGUUGUUUAGACUUUAUCAGCUAACUGUUUAGUUUUGAGCUUUUCUUUAAUGCACUUUUCAGUUAACAAGUCAACAUCAAUUCUUUUGCUGUAAAAAAGCUUGAGGAAGGUGGCUUGAGACUCGUCUUAAGUGUUUAUAGCCUCUUGCCUAUGCAGUCGGAGAGAUUGAGGUCUGCAGCGUAGAUCCUUCGGGGCUAAAUGCAUUUGUGCUAAGUUAUAGCAUUUUAUAGACAACUUGUUGACUAUGAUUUGUCUUGUAGCUUACUCGCUUAUGUUAUUUUACCUACGCUUAGGAUGUUGAUAUCGCGCUCUCACUG